AUUGAACGCUGGCGGCAGGCCUAACACAUGCCAGUCGAGCGGAUGAAGGGAGCUUGCUUCUGGAUUCAGCGGCGGACGGGUGAGUAAUGCCUAGGAAUCUGCCUGGUAGUGGGGGAUAACGUCCGGAAACGGGCGCUAAUACCGCAUACGUCCUGAGGGAGAAAGAGGGGGAUCUUCGGACCUCACGCUAUCAGAUGAGCCUAGGUCGGAUUAGCGAGUUGGUGGGGUAAAGGCCUACCAAGGCGACGAUCCGUAACUGGUCUGAGAGGAUGAUCAGUCACACUGGAACUGAGACACGGUCCAGACUCCUACGGGAGGCAGCGGUGGGGAAUAUUGGACAUGGGGCGAAAGCCUGAUCCAGCCAUGCCGCGUGUUUGAAGAAGGUCUUCGGAUUGUAAAGCACUUUAAGUUGGGAGGAAGGGCAGUAAGUUAAUACCUUGCUGUUUUGACGUUACCAACAGAAUAAGCACCGGCUAACUUCGUG
rnacentral:rRNA from 1 species